rnacentral:rRNA from 1 species
CGGGACACGUGUUAUCCUGUCUGAAUAUGGGGGGACCAUCCUCCAAGGCUAAAUACUCCUGAUUGACCGAUAGUGAACCAGUACCGUGAGGGAAAGGCGAAAAGAACCCCGGCGAGGGGAGUGAAAAAGAACCUGAAACCGUGUACGUACAAGCAGUAGGAGCCUCUUUAUGGGGUGACUGCGUACCUUUUGUAUAAUGGGUCAGCGACUUAUAUUCUGUAGCAAGGUUAACCGUAUAGGGGAGCCGUAGGGAAACCGAGUCUUAACUGGGCGAAUGAGUUGCAGGGUAUAGACCCGAAACCCGGUGAUCUAUCCAUGGGCAGGUUGAAGGUUGGGUAACACUAACUGGAGGACCGAACCGACUAAUGUUGAAAAAUUAGCGGAUGACUUGUGGAUGGGGGUGAAAGGCCAAUCAAACCGGGAGAUAGCUGGUUCUCCCCGAAAGCUAUUUAGGUAGCGCCUCGUGAA